GUCUUUCUGAUUAUAAUUGAAAGUCUGGCCUGCCCAAUGAGUGUUUGAAUGGCCGCGGUAAUUUGACCGUGCAAAGGUAGCAUAAUCAUUAGUUUUUUAAUUGAAAGCUGGAAUGAACGGUCGGACGAGAGAGCUACUGUCUCAGCUCAAUUGAUAAUAGAAUUUUAUCUGUAAGUAAAAAAGCUUACAUAUUUUUAAAAGACGAGAAGACCCUAUAGAAUUUUACAGGUUGGUAUUUGUGUUACUAUAAGAAUUAUAAGUUUAAUAAUUACUAGCAUGUUUUGUUGGGGCGACAGAGAAAUUAAUUGAACUUUCUUUAUCAUUUUCAUUAAUGUAUGUUUAAUUGAUCCGUUUUUGACGAUUAUAAGAUAAAAUUACCUUAGGGAUAACAGCGUAAUUUUUCUUAGGAGUUCUAAUCUAAAGAAGGGUUUGCGACCUCGAUGUUGGAUUAAAAUUAACUUUUGGUGCAGUGGCUGGAGGGUUAGGUCUGUUCGACCUUUAAAAUUUUACAUGAUCUGAGU
rnacentral:rRNA from 1 species